CUCCCAAUUACAGGAGCUUUCUAUGAAGAGUAUGUACAGAGUAACACAAAGCUUGGUUACACAGACACGAAUCAAAGGCCACAUCAUCCGAAGGUUACCCACAUGCUCUUUGAAGAGUUUGGGAAGAUUCCCUACAGUGGAAAAGUCAUGUUCCCAAGGCCUAACAAAGGCAAAAGAAGGCUAUUAAAAAUGGAGAAUUCAUGUUUCGACAAGUUGGAGCAGGAGUUCGAGCCUACUACCUACUUCGAUGAAUAGAGGGAGCAGAGUUUUGGAGGGAGCCAUGCUACUUGAGCUGCUUUGCUUGGCAAUUCGGGUAUGUCCGGGUCAUGACAAUGAUAGUGGGCCUUCUAAAGAGAUUCGUCUGACAGUGUGAUACUGGACUUGUUCACUGGGGUUAUAUUUGGAGGCAAGUGCUGACUAAAAACAUAAGUGCCUAGUUUGUCGUUCUUGGGCAAGGAAGGAUGGACAAGGCAUCCUAUCAAUGGAUAUGGUGGUGGGCUCACUGGUAUAAGCUGGUUCGUCGCCUUGUGUCUUAAAAAGCGGAGAUCUGGGUGCUGCCACCCAGAAUCAGCCCGUCAAAACUUCCUCCCAAGGACGUGGGCUAUGUCGAAGAGCUUGAAGAGCAAGCACCGUCCCAAGGGACCCUUUGUGUGCUGAUUUCCUAUGUCAAAGCCUUCCUUGCCAAUCAAGACGAUUGUCUCCUAGAUAGUUGGGUAGCAGUCAAAGAUAGGAAGCACUUAAAAGGCACACAGGGAAGAGGAUGAGGAAGAAGAAGCUGAAGUUGAAACUAGAUGUGCGAGAUCAGUUUUCUUAAUGGAAAGCCCCUAGCGCCAGGUGUAAAUGUUGUAGUAAGUCUACGCUCUUGCUCUAGAGAGUCAAGCUAAUGAGACUCAUCUCUGGUGUUUGCCCCCAUAGUCCUUUGGUGGGCUUAAGGAGAGUAUUGUGUCUUGGUGUGAAUGUUGUGACAAGUUUGCGCCUAGGCACAAGGCUUGAGUCCAU